rnacentral:rRNA from 1 species
UACGUAGGGUGCGAGCGUUGUCCGGAAUUAUUGGGCGUAAAGAGCUCGUAGGCGGUCUGUCGCGUCGAUCGUGAAAACUUGGGGCUUAACCCUGAGCUUGCGGUCGAUACGGGCAUGGACUGGAGUUCGGCAGGGGAGACUGGAAUUCCUGGUGUAGCGGUGAAAUGCGCAGGAUAUCAGGAGGAACACCGGUGGCGAAGGCGGGUC